UAUAUAUAUAUAUAUAUAUAUAUAUAUAUAUAUAUAUAUAUAGGUACUACGUAAAAGUAUACGUGCGUGUACUAGUGCGUGUAAUGUGUGCGUGUUGAAGCCAGGCGAUUGUGCGAUGCGCUCAUAAAAAACGUCGUCCUCGACGGCAACGAAAUCGCGCAUUGUUCGGUAGACCGCUGACCUGCGAACUCUCCCACAAUCUACCUUUAUCGUGUUCUCUAUGUAUAUCCGUGUUACAUAUGCCUUUCUUUUUAAUUUGUGUGCGUACGCGCCACUGCGCUAAAUUAAAAAUGUAUUCGCCCGAGUCGCAUUAGUUAGUAGGGAGAACGCAUUUAACAAGACGAAGAAAAAUCUAUGAAUUUAUAUAUACGUGUGUGUGUGUGUGUGUGUAUGUGUGUUCAAUGUUCUUUUCUAGAUUUCUCUUUUUUUUUUGUUUUGUAUUUUUUUUUUUCAUUCUGCUUCUUUUAUAACUUUCAACUUUAACAUUUUAAUAUCUUCAUAUCGUCGAUAGAUUGAACGAAACGUUUAAUUUGAAGUUAAGUCAGAAUUAUGGCGUAUAUUAUUUAGCCUUAGUUUUGAAAUUUUUAUUUCAUAAUUUGAUUCUAUAGUUUUCAUUCUUUUCUUUCAGAUGGAUAAGCUACAUAGAACAGACUAUGGCCUGAAAUCUCCUGCUCUACGAAGCGUGUAAUUCUGACCUUGCUUGGUAGAUUUUAUUGCCAAGUCAACGAGAGCCGCACCUUAUGCGGCAAUCUAUGUGUAUUGCGUAUAAACACAUCUAGACAUUAAAAAUAUGUUAUAUUGUUUUGUUACGAGCCAUUGUGGGUGUACAUCGAAAUUGAUCGAAAAUGAACUCUCGUAUUUGAAUUCAGUAUACGUUACUAAGAACUUCAACAACAAUUGGAAUGGAUUAUCCAUCUUUUACGAAUUACGGAUUGUAGUUCGAAAUAAAGAAUAAUACUUGUUUAAAAAAUA